UGACAACAGUUCCUUUUGUUAAACAAUGCUCGUUUAUCAAGAUUUUAGGGUUGUCAUUACAUAAUUUGAGUUCUUCACCCCUGAAGGUUUAGAGUUGUUAAACUUUGGGGUUUUGCUAAUUCACACAUUU